GCUCAUUCGUGUGCGGCCCUUCACCGCUAAGCGACGUGUGUCCCGACCAUCGACCAUCGACAUCAUCGUGCCAUUCAAGCGGUCGUCGUCGUCGUCGUAGUCGUCGUCGUCGUCAUCGUCGUCGUCAUCCAGCAACAACAACCAAAAAAAUACAAAAAUAAACAACUAAAACAACAACGUGCGGUGUUGUAGGCUUGCCACACAGAUCGAAUGUUCAAAUUAUCAAAUUCAAAACCAAAUCAUAAAAAAAUGAUAAUACAAAAUGCAGUUGCAACAAUAGUUACGACAGCAGCAAAAUGUUGAAACCAAUGCAGUGCGUGUGCAUGAUAAACAAAAGCCAAAAGCAACAACAACAACAACAACAACAAAAGUCACAGGGAAAAGUACUUUGGACAAGUGAAAACUACCCGCUCGAACAAUAAACACAAAAUCGAACAAAUCAUGAUCAUGGAAUGCCCCAUAGGAAAGAGAAAUCCCGCCCAAGAAUCUCCCGGCUGGAGCCCUGCCCCUGCCCCCGCCCCAGCGGCAGUCUGAGGAUUGGCUCAAGAAGGCGCCAGAAGAG
rnacentral:sRNA from 1 species